GUACACGCUGUGACUAGCAUAUCAAUAAGCGGAGGAAAAGAAACUAACAAGGAUUCCCCUAGUAACGGCGAGUGAAGCGGGAAGAGCUCAAAUUUGAAAUCUUAAAGGGUUUCCCUUUACGAAUUGUAGUUUAAAGAAGUGUUUUCUGUUGAGGUUUUGGUAAAAGUUCUUUGGAAUAGGACAUCAUAGAGGGUGAGAAUCCCGUAUUUGACCUUUACUUUCAACUUUGUGAUACACUUUCAAAGAGUCGGAUUGUUUGGGAAUGCAGUCCAAAAUGGGUGGUAAAUUUCAGUCUAAAGCUAAAUAUUGGCGAGAGACCGAUAGCGAACAAGUACCGUGAGGGAAAGAUGAAAAGAACUUUGAAAAGAGAGUUAAACAGUACGUGAAAUUGUCAAAAGGGAAAGCGUUUGACACCAGUGUUGUUUUUCUGAAAAUCAAUUAAAGAACUGUUUAUGCUAAGCUGUUUAGACUUUAUCAGCUAUCUGUUUAGUUUUGAGCUUUUCUUUAAUGCACUUUUCAGUUAACAAGUCAACAUCAAUUUCUUUUGCUGUAAAAAAGCUUGAGGAAGGUGGCUUGAGAUUCGUCUUAAGUGUUUAUAGCCUCUUGCCUAUGCAGUCGGAGAGAUUGAGGUCUGCAGCGUAGAUCCUUCGGGGCUAAAUGCAUUUGUGCUAAGUUAUAGCAUUUUAUAGACAACUUGUUGACUAUGAUUUGUCUUGUAGCUUACUCGCUUAUGUUAUUUUACCUACGCUUAGGAUGUUGAAGAUGUAGCACAUCAU
rnacentral:rRNA from 1 species